rnacentral:lncRNA from 1 species
CAUGCAUCUCUCCAACUUCAUUUCUUGUCAAAAAUUGGACCAGUAGAUGGUAUGUUGAAACCACUGCUUUUAGAGCGUUAAGUCCAAUUCGUUCGAGUAGGGCAUUAUAAGCCUAAGGAACUCGAACUAUCAUGAACGUUAUGAAGACAGUACUUUAUUGUGGUUCAGUUUUAGUGAUCAAAGAGAGAGAGAUUUCUCCUUUCACUG